GACACUCUGACAGUUGAGCCACGUCCCCGAGAAAAACCCUCACCAGGUGAUGCCCAAUCCACAGACACCAAAAAGGACUGGCCCAGAGUGCCUGCUGCCGUCUAGCAGAGGAGCUGGAAGAGGCCUGGAGACUAGAGGCAGGCUAUUUUUCUUGAGGUGGAAAAACACCAAGAAGCAUGAUAGCCCACAGAAUGCCUUUUGAAAGCUCUAUAGUGAUGGCAGCAGGUUGAAUAUAAUGAACAAUGUUACAAAUGGGAACACGACUACAAGUCUACUGAAGGAGGAGUCUCCAGUAAUUACAGCCAUACAGUUUCCAGAACACCAGCUCUGUCUCAGUUGGCGUUGA